rnacentral:pre_miRNA from 1 species
UUUUCAUUCUUAAACAAUGAAUAGUUUUUCCAUGACAAAGUAUUCGUUGUUUAUGAAUGAGAGAA